rnacentral:rRNA from 1 species
AGAGUUUGAUCAUGGCUCAGAGCGAACGUUAGCGGCGCGCCUAACACAUGCAAGUCGCACGAGAAAGGGCUUCGGCCCCGGUAAAGUGGCGCACGGGUGCAUAACACGUAGGCAAUCUACCCUCCGGCGGGGGAUAACGUUCCGAAAGGAACGCUAAUACCGCAUGAGACCACGUCCACCACGGUGGAUGUGAUCAAAGCUGGCCUCUUCAUGAAAGCUAGCACCGGGGGAUGAGCCUGCGGCCCAUCAGCUAGUUGGUAGGGUAACGGCCUACCAAGGCAUAGACGGGUAGCUGGUCUGAGAGGACGAUCAGCCACACUGGCACUGAAACACGGGCCAGACUCCUACGGGAGGCAGCAGUGGGGAAUCUUGGUCAAUGGGCGCAAGCCUGAACCAGCGACGCCGCGUGAGUGAUGAAGGCCUUCGGGUUGUAAAGCUCUGUGGGGAGAGACGAAAAAAGCUCGGGCGAACAGGCCGAGCUCUUGACGGUACCUCCUUAGCAAGCACCGGCUAACUCUGUGCCAGCAGCCGCGGUAAGACAGAGGGUGCGAACGUUGCUCGGAAUUACUGGGCGUAAAGCGCGUGUAGGUGGGUCCGCAAGUCGGGCGUGAAAUCCCUGGGCUCAACCCGGGAACUGCGCUCGAAACUGCAGAUCUUGAGUGCCGGAGAGGGUGGCGGAAUUCCUGGUGUAGAGGUGAAAUUCGUAGAUAUCAGGAGGAACACCGGUGGCGAAGGCGGCCACCUGGACGGCUACUGACACUGAGACGCGAAAGCGUGGGGAGCAAACAGGAUUAGAUACCCUAGUAGUCC